UACGUAGGUGGCUAGCGUUGUCCGGAUUUACUGGGCGUAAAGAGCGCGCAGGCGGUCGUUCAAGUCGAGUGUGAAAGCCCCCGGCUCAACUGGGGAGGGUCACUCGAUACUGAUCGACUUGAAGGCGGGAGAGGGAAGCGGAAUUCCCGGUGUAGUGGUGAAAUGCGUAGAUAUCGGGAGGAACACCAGUGGCGAAGGCGGCUCACUGGACCGGAACUGACGCUGAGGCGCGAAAGCGUGGGAGCAAACAGG
rnacentral:rRNA from 1 species